UUCUUAUGCAUGGUUUCCUGAUGCAAAUGUGUCAUGACUCUGCCUGUAGGCACUCCCCUGCCUGCCAAUCUGUAUACCCUGGUACUGGGUGGACUCCCUAUAGCUCACAUUAUGUCCACGUAUGGCCAGGAUGCUGAGGCCCGGAAGAUGCCAAGUGAAGUUGGCAGGUGGAAAGAAUGACUGCGCUUGCUCCAUCUCCACUGAUUCCUCUCGGUGUGUCACCUGGACCCGAACUGAAGUUGGAUGCCAGGGCAUGGAACUCCUCCUUGUUGAGCUGACCUUAGAUGAGAGAGAGGAGAAAAAAACACAGCCAGUGACUGCACAGUUCAUUCUGCAUGGAAGACAGAGACCAUGACAGCCCAGUGUGGCGGUGCUGGAAGGAGAGCCAUUUCCGGCUAACGAAGAGGGUCCUUAAGGGGGGAUCUGCAGCCUCUGUCCUGGGUGUGGCCAGGAGCCUUGUCUUGUGGGCGCUCUGUGGGUGGAGGGGUGAGCUCAUGCCUUUUCCUCCCUGAAGCAGUCAUUCUAUGACAUUCAGCCCCAACCAGGUCCUUUGGUCACAAAAUAAAGAAUGGU